CCUACGGGAGGCAGCAGUGAGGAAUAUUGGUCAAUGGGCGCGAGCCUGAACCAGCCAAGUAGCGUGAAGGAUGACUGCCCUACGGGUUGUAAACUUCUUUUAUAAAGGAAUAAAGUGAGGCACGUGUGCCUUUUUGCAUGUACUUUAUGAAUAAGGAUCGGCUAACUCCGUGCCAGCAGCCGCGGUAAUACGGAGGAUCCGAGCGUUAUCCGGAUUUAUUGGGUUUAAAGGGAGCGUAGAUGGGUUUUUAAGUCAGUUGUGAAAGUUUGCGGCUCAACCGUAAAAUUGCAAUUGAAACUGGCAGUCUUGAGUACAGGUGAGGGAGGGGGAAUUCGUGGUGUAGCGGUGAAAUGCUUAGAUAUCACGAAGAACUCCAGAUGCGAAGGCAGCUUACUAAACUGCCACUGACAUUGAAGCUCGAAAGUGUGGGGAUCAAACAGGAUUAGAUACCCCAGUAGUC
rnacentral:rRNA from 1 species